rnacentral:lncRNA from 1 species
GUUUGGUCUCCCUCCAAGCACGGAGCUCCUUCCUCUCACUCAGGAAAGCACUUGUAAGGGGAGGUCAGCGAGUUAUAGUGACCGCCGUGAAUGUGUAGGAGACAGAUGACGUUCUCAGCUUUAAUAGCAGCACCACUCCAGCUUGUGUGAGCAGGAGAGAAAAUCUCAAAGCACAUGAGGUGCUCGUGAAAGCUUCAGGACAGCCAGAGUAUCAGGCCGGCAGAUUUGGAGCUGGACACAGCCAGAAACACCAACCCACACAGCCUCCUCCAGCAAUGACCCACGCCUCUACCCCUGCACCAGCCACCAGCCCUGGUCAACCAGAAGGAUUUGUUACAGAUAGUUUUUGGGUUAACAAGGGCUAAUGAUGGAAAAAUCACAUUCUGGAGUAAAAGCCUAGGGGAAAGAUUCUGGAAUCCAAGGCUACCAGAACAGGCCAUGAAAAGAAUGAAGUAACAUGAGCCCAAGUAGACAGAUCUGGAGGAAGGGUCCUGGGCUCAGCAACAUCAGGACAGCCAAGCAGGAAGCAAAGGCCCAAGGAGGUACCAGGGAUCUGACAUCUGCAUCCAUCAGUGGAUGGAAUUAACAGACCGGAGUGAAAGCCGGAGACCUGGUGGUGAUGAAUCCCACCCUUAGAGGACUGAGGGCGGCCUGGCUACCAUCCCGAUGGGUCAGUGCCCAGGACUGAGCAGUCGGUGCUCGUGUCAGCAAGUUGAUGCCUAUGUCCAGCUGAUCAGGGGAUAUGCUGAAUAUGGUCCCUGACUAGUAUGGCUGCAAAUUCAAGCUGGGAGACAUGUGAUCAUUAGAAGACCUAUUUCCAAACCCAGAAAAAAUAGGAUCCCAGGAAAUCAGCUGGAUAAGAAGUUUUAAAAGGGGAGAAGGACUUAAAAAAUCAUGGUUAAUGUAACAGAUCUCACCUACCUGAGAUCAAAGUCCAUUCACCAUCAUUAAAUGCCUCCUACUUAAUGUGGGCUGAUGGGGGUUAGAGAGUGAGCACUGAUAGACAGAAAGUGGAGAACUCUAGAGAUGUUGUUUUCUGUGUCCCCAAGCCUUGUACACUGCUUGGCUCUUAGUAAGCACCCAAUAUAUAUCUGUUGAUUACAGAAGUACAGCUCAGAUUCCCAGUGAGUUUUCAGCCAUUGUGAUUUUUCUAAGUAAUGUUGCUAUAAGCACCUAACGAAACAUUGCAUUAUUAGUAAACUUACAAUCUGUAAAACAAAUUAGUAAAUUAAUAUCAUAAACUUACUAUUUAACUCAUUCCUUUGUUUAAUGACACAAUCUUGAUUUUUAUUCUGAUAAUCUCUGAUUGAAUAAACAAUGAGUUGCCAGGUGCCAGAAUGACAUGAGAAAUCUUUAUUACAACUCCUGAUCCAUGAUUGAAUUUGAACCUGUGAAUUGCUGAAGUCUUGAACACUUAAAGGAAAUAAUGUAAUGCAGUUAGUUGAUGUCUAGGUCUUCUCUGACCUUCUAUCCCUACCUCAUCCUAGAGCACCAGGAACCUUCCCUAGCACAGCACUAAGGUCCCAGCAGGACAACUGCUCUGUCACUGACCAGCUCUGCUCCUGACUGUCUGGCUCCAUGGGGCCAGAGAUUUAUCUGGUUCACCUUUGUAUUUCUAGUGUCCACUCUGCUGAUUGCAUUGUCAUCGUAGGUACU